GAGACAGGUUAGAGGAGAGACAGGUUAGAGGAGAGGAGAGACAGGUUAGAGGAGAGGAGAGACAGGUUAGAGGAGAGGAGAGACAGGUUAGAGGAGAGGAGAGACAGGUUAGAGGAGAGGAGAGACAGGUUAGAGGAGAGGAGAGACAGGUUAGAGGAGAGGAGAGACAGGUUAGAGGAGAGACAGGUUAGAGGAGAGGAGAGACAGGUUAGAGGAGAGACAGGUUAGAGGAGAGGAGAGACAGGUUAGAGGAGAGGAGAGACAGGUUAGAGGAGAGGAGAGACAGGUUAGAGGAGAGGAGAGACAGGUUAGAGGAGAGACAGGUUAGAGGAGAGGAGAGACAGGUUGGAGGAGAGCCGUCGUUUGACCACUCCAGGUGUGUGUGUUGAGGUGGCAGAAGAUCACCUAGAUUAGUGUGUGUGUUGAGGAGGUGGUAGAUUUAUAGAGCCAAUUAAAGGCAAGGUCACCCCCUAGUAUAGCUUUAAUAUUAAUGCUC
ensembl:lncRNA